rnacentral:snRNA from 1 species
CAGUAAUGAAGCCUUUCUGAAA